rnacentral:sRNA from 1 species
AGGAGUCCCUGUUUCUGCUGCUCCAGUACCUGCCCCCUGGGGUCAUUGCCCUGGUCAACUUCCUGGGUCCCCUGCUGUUCACAUUCCUGGUCCAGCUGGAGAACUACCCUCCCAACACAGAGGUCAACCUCACUCUGAUCUGGUGCGUGGUGCUGAAGCUGGCCAGCUUGGGGAUGUUCUCCCUCUCCCUGGGUCAGACCAUACUGUGCAUUGGCAGAGACAAGACCAGCUGUGAGUCCUACGGCUACAACGCUUGUGACUAUCAGGUGGCUGGCAGCCCGGCGGGGCCUGUCUCUCCUUUCCUUCUCCCCAAAAGCUCACCUCAAACUGUGCAGAGCCCUGUUCCUGCCCCUUUAGUCACCUUUGAGAGAAGCUGUCAGCAGGGCUGCCUGCACCGCGGCACACCUCCAGGGGGCGCCACUGCUGCCACAUGGUGUAGUGUGGCUGCCCUGGCUGUGGGGCUUCCUGCUCUAAUCCCAUCCUCAAGGCCUGGGUUUCAACCUAACGAUUCUAUCAGACACCAGGCAAGGCACCUGUACCACAGAAACCCUCACAGGAGGCUAAGGGAAGGGAGGGACGGGGUGGCCGUGAGUGGUGACAGGUCCCCUUCCCCUGCACCCCAGUGCUGGGAGAACUCCGUGGGGGAGGAGCUGUACAAGCUGAGUAUCUUCAACUUCCUUCUCACCGUGGCCUUCGCCUUCCUGGUCACCCUGCCUCGGAGGCUGCUGGUGGAUCGGUUCUCAGGCCGGUUCUGGGCCUGGCUGGAACGGGAGGAGUUCCUGGUCCCC